UACAGAGGGUGCAAGCGUUAAUCGGAAUUACUGGGCGUAAAGCGUGCGUAGACGGUUAUGUAAGUCAGAUGUGAAAGCCCCGGGCUCAACCUGGGAAUUGCAUUUGAGACUGCAUAGCUAGGGUGCGGAAGAGGGAAGCGGAAUUUCCGGUGUAGCGGUGAAAUGCGUAGAUAUCAGGAGGAACACCGAUGGCGAAGGCAGGUCUCUGGGCCGAUACUGACGCUGAGGAGCGAAAGCGUGGGGAGCGAACAGG
rnacentral:rRNA from 1 species